UCCCUGGUGACCUGGUGGUUAAGAUUUGGCACUUUCACUGCCAUGGCCCAGGUUCAAUCCCUGGUUAGGAAC
rfam:TPA: Bos taurus chromosome 3, whole genome shotgun sequence.